UACGUAGGGACCGAGCGUUGUCCGGAAUCAUUGGGCGUAAAGAGCGUGUAGGCGGCCCCUUAAGUCCUGCGUGAAAUCCUGCGGCUCAACCGCAGACGGUCGUGGGAAACUGGAGGGCUAGAGUGCGGGAGAGGAGAGUGGAAUUCCCGGUGUAGCGGUGAAAUGCGCAGAUAUCGGGAAGAACACCCGUGGCGAAGGCAGCUCGCUGGGACGUCACUGACGCUGAGACGCGAAAAGCGUGGGGAGCAAACAGG
rnacentral:rRNA from 1 species